ACACCCUACCCAGCCCUCUCCACCCAGCUGCAGACCCUUCACUACCGAUGAAGACCCUCGCCACCCCGCUGCACUCUCUUCCAGCCCUUCAUCUUCAUCAUUGCGCUAUGAGAACCCUCGCACCCUCAACGCAAGCCUCCUCCUCAAAUUCGCAACCUCGCACCCUCUCUCGCAACUUUCCAUCGGCGCUACUCCGUUGGUGUGUCCUCCCUCAAUCGGCGUUGCCUAUCCCUAACUCGACGCUCAACCCUUGAGGUUUCUUUCGUUUCUUUAUUUAGACUCUGUGGUGGCAGCACCUCCACCAUGACCAUGAUCGAUGAGACCUAUGAGUUCUCGGCGCCGAGGUUCUUUGAUUUCAUCAAUGGGAAAACCGAGAAGCUAAGGACGAGCGCAGGGCUCAGCUAUGGUUCGAUACUGCACUCUCCUACGCAUCUUCACCAUUCAUUCCAAAAAUCAAGGUUGGUAGAUCUAUCACUGUGGAUACCUUCUGUGAUUUUAGUGAAGCUGAAAAAAUAGACACGACAUCCAAAAAUGUUGAGGAGAAUUUUCAGGAAACAAUUAAACAGCCACAGAGCAUGACUACUGAAAUAAAGGAAGAUGAUGCACCUUGCAGUGAAGUCAAAGAAGAAAACAACACAACUACUUCUCAUGUGGUUCCUGUUGAUACGGAAAGAAGUGAAGAUGUUUGCAAAGGAAAGAGCUCAUGCUUAGGGAUUUCACCAUCUGGAGAUGGGUCUGCUGAAGUAGCAAAAGAUGCUUGCACUCCCAAACCAACAUUGCAAAAAAGAUUGACAACCACCACCUCCAAGAAGCAAGAGACAGCUAAAAUGAUAGGCACCAGUAAAAAACUAACUGAAAAGCCUAGGAAGGGUGCUAUCCUUGCAAAAAAAAUCAAUGAUGCUGCUGAUAGGUAUUCGAGCUGAACUAAACUGAAUAAUUUACCAAGCUGCAACUUCAAUUACAAUAUUGUAUUGGUACUCUCUAAUCCUUUCCUUUCAAGUUGAUAUGUCAAAAUGCAGUUAACUAUUCCAAUGCUUAUGUGCUGCAAAAAGCAAUAUAACAUAUAAAAUCAAUCAUAUAAGGGUAGUUAUGGUAAGUUUUUUUUUCUUUUUUAAAUUAUUCUCAUGAUAAAAUUAUUGAUACAUUAUUCAACAUAGCAUAACUGAAUUGUUUGCUUUUAUAAUGCUCUUAGAUAUGAUCUAAUUGUCCUUCUAUUCAACUAGUGUAACUUUGGUUUCUAAGUCUAACCACAAGUUGGAUCUAAAUCUGAACUUUCCAUUUAUGACAAAGUCGAUGAAAGAAGAGGUAUGGUCUACUCUUGCUUGCCAUAAAUUUCCCAUAUCUUUAGUUACAUACAUGGAAUACUGCCUUAUUGAACUUUUCUAAAUCCUGAAAGAGCAAAGAGAGAAUUUCUACAUUCAAGUUGUUGCUUUUGCUACACGUGAGAAUGCAAAGUCUUUGAACUGCAACAUGCAGUCUCUUUGGCAUUGACAAGUAGGUAAUUAAAUGAGUUGACCCUUGUAUUUUUUCUAAUUUGUCCUAUUAAUUACUUGAACCUCUGAUUUGAAACAAGUUUUGUAGAGAAAGUUGUGCCUUCUGGAAGCAGUGCUAUUCACUGUUGUGACAGCACCCUUUUCUUAAAACAAAACCAUAUUUCGAGAGACAUAACUUUUUCUAGAGAAGUAAAAAUGCUCUGGAACUUGAAUUGGGUAAAAGAUGGGUAAGUCUAGUUCAACCACACAAAAAUUUAGGUGAAUCCAACCAAAGAUGAAUUUUAUAUGAUUUUUCUGAAUUGGUUACUGCUUGCUGUUUUUUUGAAGUGUACCAAAUCAGUAGCCGAUUUUUAAAAUAUUUGUUCCAAUUUAUUUUUGUUCAUGAAUGUCAAUCAUAAUUGUUUUGUAUAAUUCAGGUUGAGACAUAAUGUUUUCUUAUUUUAUUUUUCUGCUGAGUAGGCAUUACUCUUUAUGUAAAUCUCUACCACUAUCACCAUCCACAAGAUCUUGGGUUGAACCGCCAUGUAGUGAAUGAAUUUGCAGACUAUGCAGAAUUCCGUUUCUAAGACAUUUAGGACAGAGUGAAGAACUGGAUAACAUUCGAUGAACCAAGAGUGGUAGCUGCUCUUGGUGCUAUGACAAUGGUUUCUUUGCCCCUAGAAGGUGCUCAAAGGAAUAUAGGAUUAGCUCACAAAAUGGAUCACAAAAUGCAUCUGGAAUGUUAAAUUGAUGGGUUGAAGUAUAUAGGAUUAGAUAAAUUCAGUCUUGGGGUUAUAUGCAUAAUAAGCCACUGCUUGUCUGCUUAUUCAGUCUUGGGGUUAUAUGCAUAAUAGGCCACUGCUUGUCUGCUUAUUCAAGAAAAUAGUGUAUUAGAAAGCUCACAUUGGAUUAAGGAACUGAACUUAUUUGUGGAAUAGUGUCUAUAGAAUAUUGGUGUGCA